rnacentral:rRNA from 1 species
AUUGAACGCUGGCGGCAUGCUUUACACAUGCAAGUCGAACGGUAACAGGCCUUCGGGUGCUGACGAGUGGCGAACGGGUGAGUAAUGCAUCGGAACGUACCCAGAGGUGGGGGAUAACGCAGCGAAAGCUGUGCUAAUACCGCAUGUGAUCUGAGGAUGAAAGCGGGGGACCGAGCAGCAAUGUUUGGCCUCGCGCCUUUGGAGCGGCCGAUGUCGGAGUAGCUAGUUGGUGGGGUAAAGGCCUACCAAGGCGACGAUCCGUAGCUGGUCUGAGAGGACGAACCGCCACACUGGGAGUGAGACACGGCCCAGACUCCUACGGGGGGCAGCAGUGGGGAAUUUUGGACAAUGGGGGCAAGCCUGAUCCAGCAAUGCCGCGUGCGGGAAGAAGGCCUUCGGGUUGUAAACCGCUUUUGGCAGGAACGAAACGGUGUCCGCUAAUACCGGGCGCUAAUGACGGUACCUGCAGAAUAAGCACCGGCUAACUACGUG